UGCAUACAAUCAAAGACAUGAUAUCAGCUACAUCAUGUAAACAGUUGGGAUGUUGUCACUUCUAUUCUUACAAAUUGAAAAACGAUCACUUUCUCCUUGACCCAUAUGAAAAUUGAGGUUGCAGAGCAAACUGACACCCUGAAAUUUGGAGAGACAGGCAAAUCCUUGAAGUCACUGUCAAGAUCUGCCUACCAGGAGUAGAAGCUGCUGAAGUCAUGAACUGUAUAAAAUGGAUGGAGAACCAGAUUUGGCCUGAAAGCCCACAGGUUGCUGACUCCUGGUUAUUUGAAGAUAAGCUUCCCCCAGACAGAAUUAACCAAGAAAGAGGAAGUUAUAAAUGCAAGAAUAUAGAGGAUCCAACAUAGAAAAGAGGCAAGUUGAAUCCUCAGGAUGAUGGUGAAGACAGAUCCUACGAAGAUAGGAUCCACCACCCACUGAGGCUGGAACAGGAGGACAGAGGGCUCCGGGGAGAUUUGAGCCAGAAGACAAAUUGAACCCAAGCAAAAUAAAACAAAACAAAAAUGA